rnacentral:rRNA from 1 species
CACGUAGGCGGACCGGAAAGUUGGGGUGAAAUCCCGGGGCUCAACCCCGGAACUGCCUUCAAAACUAUCGGUCUGGAGUUCGAGAGAGGUGAGUGGAAUUCCGAGUGUAGAGGUGAAAUUCGUAGAUAUUCGGAGGAACACCAGUGGCGAAGGCGGCUCACUGGCUCGAUACUGACGCUGAGGUGCGAAAGCGUGGGGAGCAAACA